rnacentral:lncRNA from 1 species
UAGGUAAGCAAUCAGGAAGGGGUUCCAGGUAGUUGGUUCCAGAUUGGAAGAUUGAUACCAAGUGCUGGCUGAUUGCUCUCUUUCUCCUUGUCCCAAAACAACGACAAGGAGAAGGACAGGGAGAAAGCAUGAUAUGAGAUACUCUUACUUUCAACCUUCAUGAUAUGAAAUACUUUUGCUUUGGAUAAGUUGUUGAUGCGUAAAAUAAGUUAACACACAAAUUAAACCCUCUUUUUGACAAUUGUAGUAAAGUAUGUAAGUAGGGUAUCGUUCUAGGCCGGGGAUUAUGAGGGAUUGCUAAUCUAUUCUAAAUUAAUUUAAAAAUAUUAAACAAGACUCAAGGACACAAAACUAGGCUAAAAACUCUAAUAACUCGAAACACACUUAGAAUGACUCAAAAUAAUGAAAACAAUCAAUUGAGACACUAGGAACUGAAAUGGACGGAAAUUGAAUUAAAAGACUAACAACAAUGAAAACUAACUAAAUAAUAUAAUUUAAUAAUGGGGGGGGUUUGGUUUUGAUGAGAAGUAAAUUAAACUUAAAUAAAUUACAGAAUUGACAAAAGCAUGAAAUUAAGGUGAAAGGAUAGGUGAC